UCAUCAUCUCAUCUCAUCAUUUCAUCUCAUUUCUUCUCAUCAUUUCAUCUCAUCAUUUUAUCUCAUUUCAUCUCAUCUCAUUUCAAUUUCAUUAUUUCAUUUCAUUUCACUUCAUUUCAUCUCAUUUUAUCUCAUCUCAUUUUAUCUCAUCAUUUCUUCUCGUCUCAUCUGAUCAUUUCAUCAUUUCAUCUCGUUUCAUCUCAUUUCAUCUCAUCUCAUAUCAUCAUUUCAUCUCAUCCUUUCAUUUCAUCUCAUCGUUUCAUCUCCUCAUUUCAUCUCAUCUCACCUCAGCAUUUCAUUUCACCUCAUCAUUUCUUAUUUCAUCUCAUCUCACCUCAGCAUUUCAUUUCACCUCAUCAUUUCUUAUUUCAUCUCAUUUUAUCUCAUUUCAUCUCAUAUCUCAAUUCAAUUUCCUUUCAUUAUUUCAUCUCAUUCAUUUCAUCUCAUUUCAUUACAUCUCAUCAUUUCCUCUCAUCAUUACAUCUCAUCUCAUCUCAUCAUUUCAUCAUUUCAUCUCAUCAUUGCAUCUCAUCAUUUCAUCUCAUUUC
rnacentral:lncRNA from 1 species